UUCUUCACACGGUCGCGAAUCGUUAAGCUUCGUCGAUUCAAGCAGAUUUGUACAACGAUAAGAGGAAAAACUAAAAAAAAAACAAUUUUUUUUAGAAGACAAAACCCCAGAGGGUUCUCUUCAAUUCAACCUUAGAAACCACCAAUUCCGCUAUGACAAAGAAGAGAAAGCUCGAAUCUGAAUCCAACGACACGUCAGAGCCGAUUCAGAAGCAGCAGGAAUGUGAAAGAGAGGAUCCUGGAAUCAGAAAUGAUGAUCAUCAAAGAGACGAAGACGAAGUAGUAGAACACGACGCACUCAAGGAGGUGCACGAAGAGGGACCUAAAGAUGACAAUAAUGUAGAAGCGGGGUCGUUGUCAGGAUCUAUGAGUUUGAGAAAUGAGGAUGAUGAGUCAGAAGAGCCCAUCGAUGAUCUAUUAGAACCGUUCUCAAAGGAUCAGCUUUUGAUUCUUCUCAAAGAAGCUGCAGAGAGACAUCGUGAUGUAGCUGAUCGAAUCCGGAUUAUAGCUGAUGAGGAUCCUGUUCAUCGUAAGAUCUUCGUUCACGGGCUUGGAUGGGAUACUAAAGCCGACGCACUGAUCGAAGCUUUUAAACAUUACGGAGAGAUCGAAGAUUGCAAAUGCGUGGUUGAUAAGGUAUCUGGGCAAUCCAAAGGUUAUGGCUUUAUCCUAUUUAAGUCAAGGUCUGGUGCUCGUAAAGCGCUUAAGCAGCCUCAGAAGAAGAUUGGGACCCGUAUGACUGCGUGUCAGCUUGCUGCUGUAGGACCUGUUCAGGGAAACCCUGUGGUGGCUGCGCCUGCUCAGCAUUUUAGCCCUGAGAAUGUUCAGAGGAAGAUUUAUGUUAGUAAUGUUAGCGCUGAUCUUGAUCCGCGGAAGUUGCUGGAGUUUUUCUCAAGAUUUGGGGAGAUUGAAGAAGGUCCUUUGGGUCUUGAUAAAGCUACUGGGAGACCCAAAGGUUUCACUUUGUUUGUUUAUAGAUCCGCAGAAAGUGCCAAGAGGGCAUUGGAAGAGCCACAUAAGACCUUUGAAGGUCAUGUCUUGCAUUGCCAUAAAGCAAACGAUGGGCCAAAGCAGGGUAAGCAACAUCAACAUCAACAUCAACAUCACCAUAAUUCUCACAAACAAAGUACUCGCUACCAAAGGAAUGAAAACACUGGUUAUGGUGCACCUGGAGGCCAUGGACAUUUCAUACCUGGUAAUAACCAAGCUGCGCAGACCAUAAACCCGGCUAUUGGCCAGGCCCUUACAGCUUUGCUGGCUUCUCAGGGUGCUGGAUUGGGUUUGAGCCAAGCAUUUGGGCAGGCUUUGUUGGGGGCAUUAGGGACAGCUAGUCCAGUACCCGCGGCUGGAAUGCCAAGCGGAUAUGGUACUCAAAAUAUCACACCUGGGGUCUAUCCUGCGUAUGGUGCCCAAGCCGGCUUUCAGGGUGGUUAUCAGACUCAGCAACCUGGUCAGGGCAGUGCUGGAAGAGGGCAGCAUGGUGUUGGGUAUGGUGGCCCUUACAUGGGUCAUUAGAUGUAGCCCACUCAGGAUGCAGAUAUUCCAAAACAGUUCUUUUAAUAUUGACAUGGUAAUUUUGACUGCAGGCUGAACCCAACACUAACGCUCUACAAUAUCCUAUGGGGUAGCUGAUAUUUGAAUGCUACUCACCUGCUUUAUCUUUUACUGACCAGUAAUGUUCUGAAUCUCUAAAUUAAUGGUUUAUAACUAAAGAUGUAGGCAUAGUUGUUUUCUUGUUUAGCUUCAGUAGGCAUCCUGUACCAAAAAGGUCAACUUGUUUAGGCUCUGUGCUAAAAAGUUUGAACAUGUCUAUUUCAAGGUUUUGCUUGUUUUAGAGCAACAUUUUGAAUCUAUAGCUAUGAAUGUGCAUUUUAAGUUGACCACAUCGCAGAUGUUACACUAAAGUGUCUUAGUUAAAUUUUUAUCUGAGUUUGGUAACACAGCUGGAACUGGUGAUUUCUCUCGCAUAGUGGAGCUCUGAACUGCCUUCCUAGUAAAAAGGUAAGUAAAACUGUUGCGCAUUGUGAGUAUUUAAUAUGUAAUGUAGAAGUAGAACCAUUGUUGAGGAAUGAAUUGAUGAUGAAAGUCCUUGCACGAAUGUGCUUCCUGGUUUGUAUUGUUUCUUUUGUAGUUGAGUCAGAGCUUCACGAGUGUAUAUGAACCAAAGUAUCUACUUGUCAUUCACUAUAAGUGAAUGAAUAUAUGGUUAUGCUAACUGCCGGGGUUCUAUCUAGUUACCCUCUAGGCUCUAUGGGCCACUAGGUUAUGAUAAGCAUGUGAAGUUUUUUACAAUACUUGAUUCUUAGGAGACCUUUGUUGGUACAGCCAGAUAGAGUGUGUGUUCUUGUUCUCUCUUUCGACAGGAUCAAGCUGCGACACAUGAUUUACUGAAUCUGUAUGUAUUAUAAUCAUUGAAGGACAUACAAAUUUACAAAGGAAGAGAAGAGUCAUAUGACAUUUUGAUGUGUUAGAUAAUAAGAAGAAGAGAGAAGUGUGAGAGUAAUUAAAGAAAGAGAAAAGGGAAACAGAAACACGUGGGAGAACAUCCCAAAGAGGAAGCACACGCGGAUCUUCAUGCAAAGCCGAUUCUCCCAUGUGGUCCCUUCCUCCCUUUGUCCCCCUCCCCUUUCUCCUUUUUCACCAUACAUACAACGAAUCUUCUUCUUUUUUUUUUUUUUUUAUAAAUAUCAUAUUUGGUUCAACAACACCUUGUUCUCGGUUACUUCCCCACUCUCACUUUUCAUAUAACAAGCGCAUUUUGGGAAA